CCUACGGGAGGCUGCAGUGAGGAAUAUUGGUCAAUGGGCGGGAGCCUGAACCAGCCAAGCCGCGUGAGGGAAGAAGGUACAGCGUAUCGUAAACCUCUUUUGUCAGGGAACAAAGGCGGGGACUAGUCCCCGGAUGAGGGUACCUGAAGAAAAAGCAUCGGCUAACUCCGUGCCAGCAGCCGCGGUAAUACGGAGGAUGCGAGCGUUAUCCGGAUUUAUUGGGUUUACAGGGUGCGCAGGCGGCCUGUUAAGUCAGCGGGAAAAGCCCGGGGCUCAACCCCGGCGAGCCGUUGAAACUGGCGGGCUGGAGUUGGAGAGAAGUACGCGGAAUGCGCGGUGUAGCGGUGAAAUGCUUAGAUAUCGCGCAGAACCCCGAUUGCGAAGGCAGCGUACCGGCUCCACACUGACGCUGAGGCACGAAAGCGUGGGUAUCGAACAGGAUUAGAUACCCGAGUAGUC
rnacentral:rRNA from 1 species